rnacentral:rRNA from 1 species
CACGUAGGGCGCAAGCGUUGUCCGGAAUUAUUGGGCGUAAAGAGCUCGUAGGCGGUCUGUUGCGUCCGCUGUGAAAACUCGGGGCUUAACCCCGAGCCUGCAGUGGAUACGGGCAGACUAGAGGUAGGUAGGGGAGAAUGGAAUUCCCGGUGUAGCGGUGAAAUGCGCAGAUAUCGGGAGGAACACCGGUGGCGAAGGCGGCAUCCUGGACCAUUACUGACGCUGAGUGAGCGAAAGCCAGGGGAGCAAACGGG